rnacentral:rRNA from 1 species
GUGGGGAAUAUUGGACAAUGGACGCAAGUCUGAUCCAGCCAUGCCGCGUGAAGGAUUAAGGUCCUCUGGAUUGUAAACUUCUUUUAUAAGGGACGAAAAAAGGCUUUUCUAAGUCGUCUGACGGUACCUUAUGAAUAAGCACCGGCUAACUCCGUGCCAGCAGCCGCGGUAAUACGGAGGGUGCAAGCGUUAUCCGGAUUCACUGGGUUUAAAGGGUGCGUAGGCGGGCAGGUAAGUCAGUGGUGAAAUCCUAGAGCUUAACUCUAGAACUGCCAUUGAUACUAUCUGUCUUGAAUAUUGUGGAGGUAAGCGGAAUAUGUCAUGUAGCGGUGAAAUGCUUAGAUAUGACAUAGAACACCUAUUGCGAAGGCAGCUUACUACGCAUAUAUUGACGCUGAGGCACGAAAGCGUGGGGAUCAAACAGGAUUAGAUACCCUGGUAGUCC